rnacentral:ncRNA from 1 species
CGGGGCCUGCGACGGUCGCCCCGCCCUCAAAGGCUCUGUGAGCCCAAGCACCGU